AACAAUAUAUUAUAAACAAUGAUAAUGGAAAUGUGAGUAUUUAUUACUUUAAGUCCGUGAUUAUUGAGAUGCAGUAUUUAAGUCAGAGUAAAGGAUAAUCUGUAGUCUCUGGUAACAAUAAAUAGUGAGCAGGAGCAGUUUUUCAGAGUAUUUAUUUUUUUCCUUAUUUUUUUUUAUAUGUGUGGUCAAUUUACUUUAAAAUGACUGUGCUGUGGACAUAAAUAUUUAAACUUUUAUUAGGUAAUUUUAACUGGCACAGGACUUCCAAAAGAUUAAAAUAAAUAAAAAGUUAAUUAUUAUUUGACAUAUUUAUAAUUAAGUCUAUUACUUUUUAUGAUGAAGAAGGUUACAUUUCUGCAUGAAAUUAUGAUAGUCGGGUUCGGAUAUAACUGACAGCAGUAACACCAAGAUGUAUAGUGCGCUCAUUUCUUAACUUUGGUCAUCGAGUUACAUACAAAUGUGUUGUGUGCAAUAAAUAACUACACUGGCCAAGAUAUAGUUUUGUGCCAGCAAUGUUAGAGGUGUUUUAUAUGAAUUUAAUGUGCUUAUUUCCGAAUGUUUGUGUUUAGGUUCGACUAGUACUUAGUAGUAAUAAUAGUACUCGUUGCAGACAUAAGUCCCGUAAGAAAUAAAACUUUCGAAUCAUAACAUGUAAUUCAUUUUUAAUUUUGCCGAUAUGAUUCUUCCAAGAAAGAUUAGCGUCUACAAAAAGUCCCAAAUAUUUUAUUUCAUUUACCUGCUGAAUAACUCUACAUUUCCCAGCGGCAAACAUUUUUUAAUGUGAUGUAUUAAUUGCUUUAGAAAGAAUUGUUCUUUAUGUACACCGAAUAUUAUAUAUUUGGUUUUAUCACUUAGCAUUAGAAAAUGUUUGGAAAACCAAAAUUCUAAAUAUCUAAGACCAUCUUCCACGCUUUUUUUGCAGAUAGUCAAGAUUUAAAAUGCAAUGGCUGUAUCAUAAGCAAAAACUAUUACAACAUCAUUACAUCAAUCAUUGAUAUAGACAAGGAAUAUAAUUGGUACCUAUACCGAUCCCCGAGUUUUUUCAUAAUUUUCCAAGAAUUUUAGAAAAUACCGAAAAUAAUGAUAUAGGCCUGUAAUUUCCCAAACAAUUAGUAGCUCCCGUUUAUACAAAAGUAUUACAAUGGCCAUCUUCAAACAGUAUGGAAACUCCCCUUGCUGAAGACUAAAAUUAUAAAGAUAUAUGAGUACGUUUGAAAUGUUUUCCAAAAUCUCCACUACAAAAGAUCUUACAUUAUCAAAAACCCUGGAGCUUUCCCGAUUUUUUAAUUAUGAAAAAAUACUAGUGAUUUCAUCUGAUGUUGUCGGGGUCAUAAAGAAUGAACUAUUAGUGAAUUUGUAUGAAAAAAUAAUUAUAUAGAAAGUGAUUGUAUGGUAAAUUUUUUUAUUGAUAUUGUUUCUCAAUUUAUCGGCUAUUUUGAGAAGGAAGUUAUUGUGAACUCUGAAGAUAUUUUAUGUUCAUUUCAUAAAUGUUCAUUUUAAAAUGUCCAAUUGCAUAUAUUUACUUGACACACUUGUUUUUAGAAGGACCGUUGAUCAAUGCAUUAACCAAAUCCCACUGAGUUCGUGUAUUUCCAGAAUCAGACACAAACAAUUCAGAAUAAUAAUUUUCUUUUCUAGAUGUUAUUUAGUUUUUUAAAUAAUUUCUGUACCGCUUGUAGUAGCUUCGUAGUCUAUAAUUUUCAGUUUAUAACCUCAUUGCUUUGUAACACCUAUUCCUUAUUUUUAUUUUUGAAAAUGGAUAGACAUUUUGCCAGGGAGUAAGUUUUCUGUAGUUUGAUUUUAUUGAACACUGAUGUGUUACUCUGACACUUUCCGCAUGAAUUAUUUUCUAAAAUUCAGAAAAUGCUUCAGAAACAGUAUCUUUAUCGUAUACAACUGAUAUGUACUAUUUAAAAUAUGUUUUAGGUCAAGGAUAUUGAAUCUGGCUUUUGAGAUAGAUUAAUUUUCCAAUCUUAAUUCUUCCGCCUCAAGUUGAAACAUAAUCGGAGAAUUAUUCCUGGUGGUCUCCUAGAACAAAUAUUUCUGAGUAUAGCCUAUGUGUAUUACUUAUAUCUACGUACAGUCCAGAAACUACAAAGAUUAUAUACAUUAUAGAAGAGAGGUCCAUUGUUUUAGUUGCUUACGGAAUGAGUUUGCCUUUCUGCAACAAGACUAUACUAUAAUUGUGUCGGCUACCCUUUAGAUUUCUGACAUAAGAUGGAGAUUUUGGACACUUUUUUGCAAUACCCACUGCUCUCAGUUGUAAUAUUCAUUUGUACUGCUACAUGGCUUUACAGAUAUUUUACUUGCCGUGUCUGUAAAAGCAAAGCAAGAAUGGAUGGGAAAACUGUAAUCAUAACAGGAUGUAAUGCAGGAAUUGGUAAGGCAACAGCUUUCGAUCUUGCGAGGAGGGGGGCCAGAGUGAUAAUGGCUUGUCGGAACAUGGAAAAGGCCACUUUAGUGAGAGACAGCAUCAUUGAGAGCACAAAGAACACAAAUGUUGUAGUGAGACUCCUAGACGUGAGUUUGCUGAGUUCGGUCCGCAAGUUUGCUGAAGAGAUCAACCGUACAGAGAGGAGACUAGACGUGCUGAUACACAAUGCGGGGAUGUCUGAGAUGGGCAGAAACGUUACUAAGGAAGGCCUUCAGCUCGUCUGGGCCACCAACCACUAUGGACCCUUCCUGCUCACUCAUCUGUUAAUAGAUCUACUAAGGAAAACCAGAAACAGCAGAGUUGUAGUUGUUUCAUCAGCCCUACACAGGCGAGGAUGGGUUGACCCAAGAAAUCCAAAUCCAGUGGAGGAAAUAGAUGGAUGGACACUGUAUUACACAACCAAGUUUGCUAACGUGAUCUUUGCAAAUGAGCUAGCUCGGCGAUUAGAAGGAACAGAAGUCACUGUCAACUCUUUACAUCCUGGGUUGAUAUACACAAACAUUUUUAACCCAUGCUCGUACUGGACUCACAUACUCCUAACGCUUAUGAGACCUUAUACAAUGACGGAAGAGCAAGGGGCCCAGACCACUAUACAUCUCGCAGUGUCUGACGAGGUGCAGGGAGUCUCUGGAAAAUAUUUUUCAAACUGUAAGACAGGCCGAAACAAUGUCAAGCCCAAAAACACUGACAGCGAGAGACUGGUUCACUUCCACUACCACGACUCCGUGGAGAAAGUGGGACUCUAGUUCAGUUUUGUUCCGGCGCCGGCUGUUGCGCACUAGAUAGCAGAGGCGGAAACUUCGAUGUGUGUACCGGACGCAAGCGAAACCCUUGCCCCCGUACCCUAUGCACUGUAUCAUCCACCAGCAGGGGGCCAGUUGAUGCCGGAAAUUCCGUGGCCAACUUUCUUCCCCCACUCGUGAUAAAAAAAUUAAAAGUUAGCCACUUCCGAAAUUGUCACUGUUUCGAGUAAAACUGCACACAGGAAACUCCUCUCUGUUUUUUCCAGACAGAAAUGAACUCGUUAACAGUGCUCCAAAAAAAUUCGAAUUUCCCGUUGGAUUAAAUAAUUCUUCUUUAAAAUAA
rnacentral:misc_RNA from 1 species